rnacentral:rRNA from 1 species
UACGAAGGGGGCUAGCGUUGUUCGGAAUUACUGGGCGUAAAGCGCGUGUAGGCGGGCCGUUAAGUCGGGGGUGAAAACCCGGAGCUCAACUCUGGAACUGCCUUCGAUACUGGCGGCCUGGAGCAUGCUAGAGGCGAGGGGAAAUGCGAGUUUAGAGGGGAAAUUCGCAGAUAUUCGCAGGAACACCAGUGUCGAAGGCGACUCGCUGGAUCAUUGCUGACGCUGGGACGCGAAAGCGUGGGGAGUAAACAGG